rnacentral:rRNA from 1 species
GAUGAACGCUGACAGAAUGCUUAACACAUGCAAGUCGACUGUGGUGGACGGGUGAGUAACGCGUAAAGAAGUGGCCUAACGAAUAAGGACGACAUUUGGAGACGGAUGCUAAUACCUGAUACUGUGAAAGGGCUUUGCGUCCCAGUAGCUAGUUGUAGCGGUAACGGCUCGCAAAGGCGAUGAUGGGGAGCCGGCCUGAGAGGGUGAUCGGCCACAAGGGGACUGAGAAACGGCCCUUAAGCCUACGGGAGGCAGCAGUGGUGAAUAAUGGACAACGGACCAAAGUCUGAGCCAGAAAUUCUGUGCGCACGAUGAAGUUUUCGGAAUGUAAAGUGCUUUCAGUUGAGAAGCGGUACCAACAGAAGAAGUGCCGGCUAAAUACGUGCCAGCAGCCGCGGUAAUAC